GGAUCCAGACUUUGAUCAUGGCUCAUGACGAACGCUGGCGGCGUGCCUAAUACAUGCAAGUAGAACGCUGAAGAGAGGAGCUUGCUCUUCUUGGAUGAGUUGCGAACGGGUGAGUAACGCGUAGGUAACCUGCCUUGUAGCGGGGGAUAACUAUUGGAAACGAUAGCUAAUACCGCAUAACAAUGGAUGACUCAUGUCAUUUAUUUGAAAGGGGCAAAUGCUCCACUACAAGAUGGACCUGCGUUGUAUUAGCUAGUAGGUGAGGUAACGGCUCACCUAGACGACGAUACAUAGCCGACCUGAGAGGGUGAUCGGCCACACUGGGACUGAGACACGGCCCAGACUCCUACGGGAGGCAGCAGUAGGGAAUCUUCGGCAAUGGGGGCAACCCUGACCGAGCAACGCCGCGUGAGUGAAGAAGGUUUUCGGAUCGUAAAGCUCUGUUGUAAGUCAAGAACGAGUGUGAGAGUGGAAAGUUCACACUGUGACGGUAGCUUACCAGAAAGGGACGGCUAACUACGUGCCAGCAGCCGCGGUAAUACGUAGGUCCCGAGCGUUGUCCGGAUUUAUUGGGCGUAAAGCGAGCGCAGGCGGUUUGAUAAGUCUGAAGUUAAAGGCUGUGGCUCAACCAUAGUUCGCUUUGGAAACUGUCAAACUUGAGUGCAGAAGGGGAGAGUGGAAUUCCAUGUGUAGCGGUGAAAUGCGUAGAUAUAUGGAGGAACACCGGUGGCGAAAGCGGCUCUCUGGUCUGUAACUGACGCUGAGGCUCGAAAGCGUGGGGAGCGAACAGGAUUAGAUACCCUGGUAGUCCACGCCGUAAACGAUGAGUGCUAGGUGUUGGAUUCUUUCCGGGAUUCAGUGCCGCAGCUAACGCAUUAAGCACUCCGCCUGGGGAGUACGACCGCAAGGUUGCAACUCAAAGGAAUUGACGG
rnacentral:rRNA from 1 species